CGAGGCGGGGGCCGCGCGAGGGCCGGAGCGGAGCGGCGCCGCCACCGCCGCACGCGCAAACUUGGGCUCGCGCUUCCCGGCCCGGCGCGGAGCCCGGGGCGCCCGGAGCCCCGCCAUGUCGCGAUCCAACCGGCAGAAGGAGUACAAAUGCGGGGACCUGGUGUUCGCCAAGAUGAAGGGCUACCCACACUGGCCGGCCCGGAUUGACGAGAUGCCUGAGGCUGCCGUGAAAUCAACAGCCAACAAAUACCAAGUCUUUUUUUUCGGGACCCACGAGACGGCAUUCCUGGGCCCCAAAGACCUCUUCCCUUACGAGGAAUCCAAGGAGAAGUUUGGCAAGCCCAACAAGAGGAAAGGGUUCAGCGAGGGGCUGUGGGAGAUCGAGAACAACCCUACUGUCAAGGCUUCUGGCUAUCAGCCCUCCCCCCUCCUGCACAGAGCCCUGCCUGCCCGGCCAGUGGGUUUACCCCGGGGCUAAUCCGACAGAGUCCUCCCAGAAAAAGAGCUGUGUGGAAGAGCCUGAACCUGAGCCCGAAGCCACAGAGGGUGACGGUGAUAAGAAGGGGAAUGCAGAGGGCAGCAGCGAUGAGGAAGGGAAGCUGGUCAUUGAUGAGCCAGCCAAGGAGAAGAAUGAGAAAGGAGCGCUGAAGAGGAGGGCAGGGGACUUGCUGGAGGACUCUCCUAAACGUCCCAAGGAGGCAGAAAACCCUGAAGGAGAGGAGAAGGAGGCAGCCACCUUGGAGGGUGAGAGGCCCCUUCCUAUGGAGGUGGAAAAGAAUAGCACCCCCUCUGAGCCCGGCUCUGGCCGGGGGCCUCCCCAAGAGGAAGAAGAAGAGGAGGAUGA
rnacentral:sRNA from 1 species